UUUCCCUCAGGAAAGCUGGAGCUCGCGUGCGAGUUCUAUCGGAUAAAUCCAAUGAUUAGAGGCCUCGGGGGCGCAACGCCCUUGACCUAUUCUCAAACUUUAAAUAGGUAGGACAGUGCGGCUGCUUUGUUGAGACACGGUGUUCGGCAAUGACGUUACUGCCA
rnacentral:ncRNA from 1 species